GUUUAUUUCCAGCACAGCAUUAACACUAACAUUGUAGUGACACCAUAGUGUGCGUGCUGUUGGUGUGAGUAGUGUGAGUGCUGUCAGUAUUGCUAAGAUUUUUUUUUUGAACACCUUAUUCUCACUGCUGGUCAUGACAUGGUCAGACACUGACAUUAAGGAACAUAUAAAAGGUAAUUAUACACACACACACACACACACACACACACACACACACACACACACAGGCAUUGUGCAUAGAAAAAGAUGGGCUAUAACCUCGAUCUGUUCAUCUACACCUUCUAGCAAUACUGCUCUGGUUGAUACACCCAUAUAGCACAACACACAUGACUAUGCUGCUAUUGUCCAAUACUGCCACUGCUGUGCUUAGAAUGGUACACCACCCAAAUAUGGUGGUCUCUUUCCAUUAAUAGACAGGACAGGGGGUGGCAGACAAGUUGUACACAUACAAAUUGCUACAUGCAAAUCUACAGACAGGUGAUUAAAAGCAAAAACAACUUAAAACGACUUAGUUAGGUGUUGAUCCACCAGAAGUCACCAUAAGAGCUUCAUUGUAACUUGGCAUAGAUUCUACAAGUGUCUGGAAGUGUACUGGAGACUGAAUACUGUGCUUCCAAAAUAUAUUUCUUCCAUUUGUAUUUUGACAACGGUGAUGGGGAGCACUCUCUAACACAUCAGUCCAAAAUUACCCAUAAGUUUUCAGGUGGGUUGAGAUCUCAAAACCAUUCAGUGACCAGACCCUAGUUGCCCUGUGGAUGGGGAUAGAAUAACUUUGUAUUUGCAGGGUUCCUUCCUUAUAAGGGGACAACAAAUGGACCUAAACCAUGCCAGCAAAAUGUCCCCCAGCAUAACAGAGCCAUGAGUAUUUCACUUUUGUCAUCUGUCCGGUAUCUGUAAAGAGAGAGAGAGAGAGAGAAUGAAUGUGUUUAUAAUCCCCUCUUGGCUACUCUUUAUUUUUAUUUUUUAUUCAUCUGCAGUGUUUCAGCUGCCUUCCAUUUAAAUAGCCAGAAAAACAGCUGAGAAGCUCCCCUCGCAUAGUUUCUAUACCGCUUUCUCUUCCUCCUCCUUUCCUCCCCCACUCUUCCUCUUUCUACCUCCCUUUGUUUGCCUGCUGCUCUCUCAGUUAGUUUCCACCAACUACCUUCGUCGGACUCUGAUUGGUCGGUUUGUUUGGGAGGCGGGGCCACUCUUCGCCUAGUUACG
ensembl:lncRNA